rnacentral:rRNA from 1 species
UACAUGGGGUGCAAACGUUGCUCGGAAUUACUGGGCGUAAAGUGUGCGCAGGCGGCCGAGCAAGUCGAGUGUGAAAGCCCCGAGCUUAACUUGGGAACUGCGCUCGAAACUACUUGGCUAGAGUGUGGCAGAGGGAGGUGGAAUUCCACGUGUAGCGGUGAAAUGCGUAGAGAUGUGGAGGAACACCGAUGGCGAAGGCAGCCUCCUGGGCCAACACUGACGCUCAUGCACGAAAGCGUGGGGAGCAAACAGG